UGCCAGCCGCCGCGGUAAUACGGAGGGUGCAAGCGUUGUUCGGAAUUAUUGGGCGUAAAGCGCGUGUAGGCGGUUCGUUAAGUCUGAUGUGAAAGCCCGGGGCUCAACCCCGGAAGUGCAUUGGAAACUGGCGAACUUGAGUACGGGAGAGGAAAGUGGAAUUCCGAGUGUAGGGGUGAAAUCCGUAGAUAUUCGGAGGAACACCGAUGGCGAAGGCAGCCCCCUGGGUCAACACUGACGCUCAGGCACGAAAGCAUGGGGAGCAAACAGGAUUAGAUA
rnacentral:rRNA from 1 species